rnacentral:rRNA from 1 species
GGGAAAAGGAUUUAUUCGCUUUAGGAUGGACUCGCGUCCAAUUAGCUAGUUGGUGAGGUAACGGCCCACCAAGGCGACGAUUGGUAGCCGGACUGAGAGGUUGAACGGCCACAUUGGGACUGAGACACGGCCCAGACUCCUACGGGAGGCAGCAGUGGGGGAUAUUGCACAAUGGGGGAAACCCUGAUGCAGCGACGCCGCGUGGAGGAAGAAGGUUUUCGGAUUGUAAACUCCUGUCGUUAGGGACGAUAAUGACGGUACCUAACAAGAAAGCACCGGCUAACUACGUGCCAGCAGCCGCGGUAAGACGUAGGGUGCAAGCGUUGUCCGGAAUUACUGGGUGUAAAGGGAGCGCAGGCGGGAAGACAAGUUGGAAGUGAAAACCAUGGGCUCAACCCAUGAAUUGCUUUCAAAACUGUUUUUCUUGAGUAGUGCAGAGGUAGAUGGAAUUCCCGGUGUAGCGGUGGAAUGCGUAGAUAUCGGGAGGAACACCAGUGGCGAAGGCGGUCUACUGGGCACCAACUGACGCUGAGGCUCGAAAGCAUGGGUAGCAAACAGGAUUAGAUACCCUGGUAGUCCAUGCCGUAAACGAUGAUUGCUAGGUGUUGGGGGAUUGACCCCCUCAGUGCC